GAUGAACGCUGGCGGCGUGCUUAACACAUGCAAGUCGAACGAAGCAUUUAGAACAGAUUACUUCGGUUUGAAGUUCUUUAUGACUGAGUGGCGGACGGGUGAGUAACGCGUGGGUAACCUGCCUUGUACUGGGGGAUAGCAGCUGGAAACGGCUGGUAAUACCGCAUAAGCGCACAAUGUUGCAUGACAUGGUGUGAAAAACUCCGGUGGUAUAAGAUGGACCCGCGUCUGAUUAGCUAGUUGGUGAGAUAACAGCCCACCAAGGCGACGAUCAGUAGCCGACCUGAGAGGGUGACCGGCCACAUUGGGACUGAGACACGGCCCAGACUCCUACGGGAGGCAGCAGUGGGGAAUAUUGCACAAUGGAGGAAACUCUGAUGCAGCGACGCCGCGUGAGUGAAGAAGUAAUUCGUUAUGUAAAGCUCUAUCAGCAGGGAAGAUAGUGACGG
rnacentral:rRNA from 1 species